rnacentral:lncRNA from 1 species
CACACCACCUUCUUCAUUCCAUUAUGCUGCUUUCUGGAAACAUAAAUCUCUUCUAAUUAUGAGUAUAUAUAUUUAUUAUCUGACAAGCAAAUCUAGUUUGCCUUUCUGUGAAAUUACUUCACUGCAGUGUAACUUCUAGGAGCAUAUUUAACAUCAAUAAAAAAUAAGCCCGCGUUAUUGAAACCAUACAUUAUGCUCAGGACAAGAACAAGAAGAUCUCUGUAGCACAAUGGAAAAGUUAAUUGGAAAAUAUGAUUAACGGAGAAGUCCACAGGGUCACAUGGAAACCGUUUUCCUUGCUGCCUCUCAGGGUAGCCAUUUAAACUCUUGAAGAUGCUUUCUCUGAUCCUGAGAGUAUGGAACUGAUGUUGCAGAGUGUUGUGUACGUCCCAGACCAGGAUGAAUUCGAGAUGCAUGCCCUACCCUCCUAGUUCUCAUAGUUUAGCUGGGCAGAGUUUGUAAGGUGGCACAGUGUUCCAGAACUGGCAAAGUCAGUUCUUGCACAGGUAAAGACAGCACCAUCUGACAGGCCCCUGGUACAGUCUGCUGGUGGUGCUCUUAUGCAUAUAGUCUGGGGAAGGCCGUUAAUACAGGAGAUGCCCGUGGAGUGCGGCAGUCCCUUGGCAGUGGCUGCUACUUGCCUCUUAAAACUGGAGGAAACUCUGUUUCCAAAUCUUGUUUUUAUUUUUUAUUUUCUCUAUCAUCUCUACCCUGAUUGUAAUGCUAAAUUAGGGAAGAUAAAUGUACCUGAUUUAUAGUUUCAAAGACUGCACUGCUUAACAUCUCCUCUCUAGGGCUCCUAUGGACUGAAGAGGGUCCAUAGCAAACCUCACAAUGCAAAUUACUCACAGUAUGUUCCUAUAAUUCAAACAACAACAAAAGAAUCACAAUGCUCUCUACAGAGUGCCUGUAAAUAACUGUGGUUUUAAUUAAGCCCUCAGUGAAAUGAAAAAAAGAAAAGAAUUUUUGGGACGUCCUCCAGCACCUCACGUAGCCCUCAGAGCUUGGAUCUACUGGGUUGGAACCCAGAAAGGUCCAGUCUGUUCUUGGCCGUGCAGCCCCUACCUCCUCCUGCCCCCUUAAAAAGGAGCUGUGCACUGUGGCUUUGCUUGGUGGCCAGAAGAGAGCUCUGUGGGGACAGAGUGUGCAGCCUGCUUUGCUUGACAUCACAGUGAGGGAACAUGAACUCAGCAACUGUUCAGUGAGUGGGGACCCUUAGGACCUGACCCAUCACACUCAGAGCAUAAACCAACCACAGGUAAUGAAUGUGAUGGGAGGACACCACUGUAUUUAUGUCAUCAUUUCGUGGAUUCGUUAUAAAGCAAAACGAUCCUAGGGUCUUGAGAGUCCAUGCUUAUUCAGUAUCUUAAAACUAGGAAGCAUUUACAAGAUUGUG